UACGUAGGGCGCAAGCGUUGUCCGGAAUUAUUGGGCGUAAAGAGCUCGUAGGCGGUCUGUCGCGUCGGCUGUGAAACCUUGGGGCUCAACCCCAAGCCUGCAGUCGAUACGGGCAGGCUAGAGUGUGGUAGGGGAGAUCGGAAUUCCUGGUGUAGCGGUGAAAUGCGCAGAUAUCAGGAGGAACACCGGUGGCGAAGGCGGAUCUCUGGGCCUUACCUGACGCUGAGGCGCGAAAGCUAGGGGAGCAAACGGG
rnacentral:rRNA from 1 species